AUUGAACGCUGGCGGCAGGCCUAACACAUGCAAGUCGAGCGGAUGAGGGGAGCUUGCUUCCUGAUUCAGCGGCGGACGGGUGAGUAAUGCCUAGGAAUCUGCCUGGUAGUGGGGGACAACGUUUCGAAAGGAAUGCUAAUACCGCAUACGUCCUACGGGAGGAAGUGGGGGAUCUUCGGACCUCACGCUAUCAGAUGAGCCUAGGUCGGAUUAGCUAGUUGGUGAGGUAAAGGCUCACCAAGGCGACGAUCCGUAACUGGUCUGAGAGGAUGAUCAGUAACACUGGAACUGAGACACGGUCCAGACUCCUACGGGAGGCAGCAGUGGGGAAUAUUGGACAAUGGGCGAAAGCCUGAUCCAGCCAUGCCGCGUGUGUGAAGAAGGUCUUCGGAUUGUAAAGCACUUUAAGUUGGGAGGAAGGGCUGUAGGCUAAUAUCCUGCAGUUUUGACGUUACCGACAGAAUAAGCACCGGCUAACUUCGUGCCAGCAGCCGCCGUAAGAC
rnacentral:rRNA from 1 species